GCUCAGUUGGUUAAGUGCCUUGCUCUUGGUUUCAGAUCAAGUUAUCAUCUCAAGGUCGUGGGAUCGAGCCCCACAUUGGGCU
rnacentral:tRNA from 1 species